rnacentral:lncRNA from 1 species
CGAGUUAGACCGUAACAAAACAGCUCUGGAGGGAUUCUGUCAGUGUGUUGUCAUGGUUACCAGCCUAGACAACAUCUACACAGUGAAAUGUUUUAAGUCCAAUUGGUUAAGAUGUUGUCUCCGAGGGCUCCAACUCCCCCUCCAUCACCCUUCACCCUUCCUUUGGAAUUAGGUGCUGUUUGAAUGACUCCUGGCGUUUUGAAAUCUGGUUUACAGAAAGGUGAGUCGAGGGUGAGGGUAGAUGGGGGUUAAUAUGAUGAAUUGAUGUGGUCCUCUGUCAUUGGCACUUACGGUUAAGGUCCCAUUAGCAUCAUCUCUGUAUAGGAAUGAUGUCUGGGAAGAUGCUACUCCCACUGUGUGUGCAGAUGAAGCAUCGCCAUGGUAGGAACCCCCGGGGUGAGUGCCAGCACACAAAAUGGAUAACACUGGAGAUGCCCAAUGGUCAUCAGAGAAGCGCUGUAGCUGGGCAUUCAAGAUUCUGAGAGUUUACCUGGCCCCGCGAAGAAGAGGAAGGCUUGAUUCUCUUAAGCACCCAGGAAAAUUGUGUGUUCAACAUUCAACAGUGUCCUUGUUAAUGCCUCGUAUACAUUAUAAGUAUACCCUGUAUCUAAACAGUCACAAUUCUGUGUUUGAAUAUCUUACCAAUCUGUCACUGAAAUUUGUAGUAUGAUACAUGAACAUAACAUAAAACUCACAAUAUGUUUUUUAGUGUGUUAGUGGCAAGUAAGUAGCUGGGAGCCUUAAUUCAAAGAAUGGCUAAAGCUCAAUCACCGAGUGAGAGAGCUUGAAGUCACCUCCAAAUCCUACAGCCCAAGCAUGAAGCUUAAUAGAGUGUUCCCCAAAUCCUACAAAUAUUCUGAAAUGUAAAUGCUGUAGUCAAUAGUGCAUUUUAGACAUCGUAUGAGUAUUUGUAAAUUGUCAAUAAAUAGUUUUAAAAGUUUUGACCAAUCA